GACGAGCGCUGGCGGCGUGCUUAACACAUGCAAGUCGAACGGAAAGGCCCUGCUUUUGUGGGGUGCUCGAGUGGCGAACGGGUGAGUAACACGUGAGUAACCUGCCCUUGACUUUGGGAUAACUUCAGGAAACUGGGGCUAAUACCGGAUAGGAGCUCCUGCUGCAUGGUGGGGGUUGGAAAGUUUCGGCGGUUGGGGAUGGACUCGCGGCUUAUCAGCUUGUUGGUGGGGUAGUGGCUUACCAAGGCUGUGACGGGUAGCCGGCCUGAGAGGGUGACCGGCCACAAUGGGACUGAGAUACGGCCCAGACUCCUACGGGAGGCAGCAGGGGGGAAUAUUGCACAAUGGGCGGAAGCCUGAUGCAGCAACGCCGCGUGCGGGAUGACGGCCUUCGGGUUGUAAACCGCUUUCGCCUGUGACGAAGCGUGAGUGACGGUAAUGGGUAAAGAAGCACCGGCUAACUACGUG
rnacentral:rRNA from 1 species